rnacentral:rRNA from 1 species
UUAGAUACCCUGGUAGUCCACACAGUAAACGAUGAAUACUCGCUGUUGGCGAUACAAUGUCAGCGGCCAAGCGAAAGCAUUAAGUAUUCCACCUGGGGAGUACGCCGGCAACGGUGAAACUCAAAGGAAUUGACGGGGGCCCGCACAAGCGGAGGAACAUGUGGUUUAAUUCGAUGAUACGCGAGGAACCUUACCCGGGCUUAAAUUGCAACUGACGGACUUGGAAACAGGUCUUUCUUCGGACAGUUGUGAAGGUGCUGCAUGGUUGUCGUCAGCUCGUGCCGUGAGGUGUCGGCUUAAGUGCCAUAACGAGCGCAACCCUUACCGACAGUUACCAUCAGGUAACGCUGGGGACUCUGUCGGGACUGCCGUCGUAAGAUGUGAGGAAGGUGGGGAUGACGUCAAAUCAGCACGGCCCUUACGUCCGGGGCUACACACGUGUUACAAUGGGGGGUACAGAAGGCAGCUACACGGCGACGUGAUGCUAAUCCCAAAAGCCUCUCUCAGUUCGGAUUGGAGUCUGCAACCCGACUCCAUGAAGCUGGAUUCGCUAGUAAUCGCGCAUCAGCCACGGGCGCGGUGAAUACGUUCCCGGGCCUUGUACACACCCGCCCUCAAGCCAUGAAAGCCCGGGGGUCCCUGAUUGCGUUACCCGCAAGACCGCCCUAGGUAAAACUGGUGAUUGGGGCUAAAUCGUACAAGGGU